rnacentral:rRNA from 1 species
AGAGUUUGAUCCUGGCUCAGAAUCAACGCUGGCGGCGUGCCUAACACAUGCAAGUCGUACGCGAAAGGGGCUUCGGCCCUGAGUAGAGUGGCAAACGGGUGAGUAACACGUGGGUGACCUGCCUUCGAGUGGGGGAUAACGUCCCGAAAGGGACGCUAAUACCGCAUGACAUCCUGCUCUUGGACGAGCGGAAAUCAAAGCCGGGGAUCGCAAGACCUGGCGCUCGAAGAGGGGCCCGCGCCUGAUUAGCUAGUUGGUGGGGUAAUGGCCUACCAAGGCAACGAUCAGUAUCCGGCCUGAGAGGGCGGACGGACACACUGGGACUGAGACACGGCCCAGACUCCUACGGGAGGCAGCAGUGGGGAAUUGUUCGCAAUGGGCGCAAGCCUGACGACGCAACGCCGCGUGGAGGAUGAAGAUCUUCGGGUCGUAAACUCCUGUCGAGCGGGACGAACACUUGCCGGCCUAAUACGCUGGCAGGCUGACGGUACCGCUAAAGGAAGCCCCGGCUAACUCCGUGCCAGCAGCCGCGGUAAUACGGGGGGGGCAAGCGUUGUUCGGAAUUACUGGGCGUAAAGGGCUCGUAGGCGGCCAACUAAGUCGGACGUGAAAUCCCCCAGGGCUCAACCUGGGAACUGCGUCCGAUACUGGAUGGCUUGAAUCCGGGAGAGGGAUGCAGAAUUCCAGGUGUAGCGGUGAAAUGCGUAGAUAUCUGGAGGAAUACCGGUGGCGAAGGCGGCAUCCUGGACCGGCAUUGACGCUGAGGAGCGAAAGCCAGGGGAGCAAACGGGAUUAGAUAC